UGUGUGCGAACACGUGCCUCGCACGGCACUGAAACAGCCGUUAAUGUUUGCAUGCGUAGCCACGCGGAAAAAUGCCUAGGAAAGUCUUACGGAGCUGAUACCGGAGAGGAAAAAGAAAAAAAGAGAAAAAAAAAGAAACGAAUCGUACGGUUACGCGAGAGUCGGAUAAAACCGUGCCGCGUUUUAUUAUUUCGUUUCGUGGACUUUCUCUCGUAGAGAAGACUGUGCCUGUCAACCCGAUUGCGCGGAAAUCUUAACCUCUCGGGCUGGUUCUGUUGCACGUGAAACUUUCUUUGAUUAACUCAUUUCAUUUCCUGUUUCAUUGUUACGGUAUACGUGAAAUCGAACUGAUAAAAACGUUUAAGACAGUGUUUUACUGGUUAGGAGAAUUAUAAUCGUGAAUAGGAAUCGACUAUCGUGACGUCUGUUUAGAGACAGAUCAUUUACGACUGUAACGCACUAUUAUUUAUAUACAGUGUAAAUUAUAAUUUGUGAAAUUAAUGUAAAAGAAAAUUAUUCGUACAACUUCACACUAGAAAAGCUUCAUUACAGAAAUUUAAAACUGCAACUACAAGAAAAUAAACACGUUCAGUGCCACGUGUAGAUGUGGUACACGUUAAUUUUUGUAAGAACAUGCCAUAUUGGCGACGCCGAUUUCUUAAACGUGAAAUGUCACCGAUCGCAAAGGGUUAACACGUUCACGCCGGCGUGUACUACCGGUGGCACACAAUUAAUGGCUCAUUAGACGCCGUCAAAUGGGAAAGAGUGGAAAUGAAAUCUGAACCUUCAAAAAUUCGAAUCGACGAAGAAUUUUCCUAGGAGCAGGAUAAAUCGUACAAUAAAUUCCCGUGAAUCUAGCGUGAACGAAGCGUCGUAUAAAUUUCCUGGAAGUUCCGAGCAUCCCUAACCUAAAACACGGCAGACAAGGGGGACACGGUGGAAGCCAGAAAUUCAUAUUCUCCGCGACGCACCUCGGCGAGUCAUCGUGAAAGACAUCACGAAUUUGUCCCGCGCGUGGUCUACGAAAGGGAAAGAAAAGGUAGAGGCUGAGCCUCGGCCUACGUUUGCUGGACGUCGCUCAAGGUGACGCGCGUUGAAUAAUUCAGAAACGAAGCUCGGCAUGCGUUCUGCGGCUACGCUCGGCGUCCCGUACCUUACGCAGAUCGGUAGGUCGGAAAGAAAAGGUGGCAAGGGAUAAGUCGCUUUGCAUGUGGAUGCGUAUAAACGGAUCGGAGAGACUGAACUCGCCGCGGUAUACAUCGGUAUGUCGGGUACCGUAACUCGGCAGUCGCCAAUGACUCGAAUCAAAGCCAAAGCUCUCUCGGGCCCGUUGCUUGGAAAAGUCAUCCAGCCGUGAAGGAAGGAUUGAAAUUGUUCUACGGAAUUCGCCAAGGAUUGCGUCAUAGAGAAGUGAACGAGACGACUGUGUAUGAAUUUCAACGUUAGUCAUCAAAACAAUAGAGGAUUGAAUAUUGUGUUUUUGAUGAAAGUAUUUAAUGGAAGAAAUUUGACAAGGGAAUCUACGAUAUUAAAAGUUUCAUACUUGGACUUGUAAUGUGAUCCUUGGAUACUUUGGAAAAUGAAUAAUUCUCUUAAUGCUUAGGAUUGUUAUAGCAUAGUUUAUGUAUAUAGAGAAUCUAUGUUAUUAAUAAAAUGUUCAAAUUUGAGCUUGCAAUAUGAUCCUUGGAUACUUUGGAAAAU